AGUGAACGCUGGCGGCGUGCUUAACACAUGCAAGUCGAACGAGAACGGAAUAUAGCUUGCUAUAUUUGUCAGCUAAGUGGCGCACGGGUGAGUAAUGUAUAGAUAACCUGCCCUUAAGAAAGGAAUAACAGUUGGAAACGACCGCUAAUGCCCUAUAUGCCUUUAAUACAUAAGUAUGCAAGGGAAACGCUUUAGUGCUUAAGGAUGGGUCUGUAUGGUAUCAGCUUGUUGGUGAGGUAAUGGCUCACCAAGGCUAUGACGCCUAACUGGUUUGAGAGGAUGAUCAGUCACACUGGAACUGAGACACGGUCCAGACUCCUACGGGAGGCAGCAGUGGGGAAUAUUGCACAAUAGACGAAAGUCUGAUGCAGCAACGCCGCGUGGAGGAUGACACAUUUCGGUGCGUAAACUCCUUUUAUAUAGGAAGAUAAUGACGGUACUAUAUGAAUAAGCACCGGCUAACUCCGUGCCAGCAGCCGCGGUAACAC
rnacentral:rRNA from 1 species